GAACAAAUGAGCAAAAGGAAGAAGAAACAAAACAUGAUAAAAGAAAAGAGCAAGAUUAAGUAGAGGAAAAGAAAAUGUAGAAGAAGAUAUUGCCAUUGAGAUUAUAUUUAUAGAUCAGGAAGAUAGUGUCAGUUUGAUAGAUGAAGGGGAUAGUGGUAGUUUGAUUGUAGAUGAAGAAGAUAGUGUCAGUUUGAUUGUAGAUGAAGGGAAAAGUUGUAGUUUAGUUGUAGAUCAAGA